UACAGAGGGUGCGAGCGUUAAUCGGAAUUACUGGGCGUAAAGCGCACGUAGGCGGAUCUGUAAGUCAGGGGUGAAAUCCCGGGGCUCAACCUCGGAACUGCCUUUGAUACUGCAAAUCUCGAGUCCGGAAGAGGUGAGUGGAAUUCCUAGUGUAGAGGUGAAAUUCGUAGAUAUUAGGAAGAACACCAGUGGCGAAGGCGGCUCACUGGUCCGGUACUGACGCUGAGGUGCGAAAGCGUGGGGAGCAAACAGG
rnacentral:rRNA from 1 species